UACGUAGGAGGCGAGCGUUGUCCGGAGUACUGGGCGUAAAGCGCACGCAGGCGGUCUCUUAAGUCUGUAGGGACAGGGCACAGCUCAACUGUGUCAGGCUUACGGAAACUGGGAGACUUGAGGGCUUCAGAGGGAUGGGGAAUUCCGGGUGGAGUGGUGAAAUGCGUAGAGAUCCGGAAGAACACCGGUGGCGAAGGCGGCCUGCUGGGCAGUAGCUGACACUGAGGCGCGACAGCGUGGGGAGCAAACAGG
rnacentral:rRNA from 1 species